GACCUAGAUCAAAAAAACUGUUAAUUUUGAGGGCUUAAAUUUAUAACCGAAGCUUCAAACAAGAUUUUUUAUUUUGUGGUAGCAGAACGUUCCGUAGGUCAGUAAAGCUUUGGCGAAUGCUAAAGUGAAGAUAUCGGAAGUGAGAAUACUUGCAUGAGUAGCAUAAAACAAUGAUAAACAUUGUAGCCGUAAGUCUAAGGUUUUCGAUCCAAGGUAAUUUUUGGUCGUAGGAAAUAUAUUUUCUUGAAAAAACGGUCCCUAAGCUAACAAGCUAAGGCUUGAAGUAAUGGGUAAGAUUAAGCUGUGAGAAGUGACUGACGAAAAAUUACCUUUAUUUAUAGAUUAUUUAUAAGUAAAUUGCUUUUUCCAAGAAAAAGGUACUUCAUAAAACA
rnacentral:rRNA from 1 species